CACCCCACUCGAUAACUUCUAAUGCAAAAAAUUAAAUGACUAUCCUACACAAUAGUUUUAAUUGUAAUAAUAAAAAGCAAAAAAAUGAUACUGAGCGGACCACGCUUAAAGGUCUGUAAAUAUCGAAAAAUGUGAAUUUAUCACUUUAGGGCCACCAUUAUUUCCCAUAAAGUUUCCAGCAACUGUAGCAACCAAUUAAGCAAAAAAGGAAUCUGAACCUCCAAGGUACAAAAUUGUCCAAAACCAUAAUUUUGCCCAAAACAAAAACCACCAGAAGGUCCAACAUGCCUCUAGGAGCAACUUGUCUUCAGAUGUCGUCACCGAAACCUCUCCUUGUGCCUCUGUCGGAACUGUACCCCUCCCCACCCGCGGUGGUCACCUCCACAAACCAAACAUGUAGGAGCGCCUCAACAUAUACGGUUUUCAAUAGUCUCCGUAUUAGUUUGGUUGAAAAUAGCAAUUACAGGUGCGAUUUUUGGGCAAUUUUCUUGAAAGCGUUUCAAUCUGUUUUUAGCCUCGAAUCUACCAAUUUUUUGGACGAUUUUUGAUCAGUUAUAUAUAUAUAUAUAUAGUUUAGUUUAGUUUAGGUUAGACUUAAUUAUUUCACUCAUCGAUCGAGGCUUAUAUAUUCUGACAUUUAACAUUAUAAUCCGUGAUUUAUUGGGUAUCAAAUACAGCAGUAUACAUAAUAUGAUUAUAUAUUAAGCCCCCAUUUGGCCCCCAUUCUCCUUCUCAUUUUUUUCUCUCUUAUUUUCAACCACACAAUUUUCGAUAAAAUAAUAUUAUACGCAAAUAAAAAACUUUUCAUUCUUUUUCAAUCACAUUUUUUUCAAAAAAUUACUAUUCUAACAGUUAAAUUAGAAAGAAUGGUGGCAAAAGGGGGGCUAACAUAGAGUUAGUUCCCUUUGUACUUGAAUAAUCAAAUUUCAAAAAUAAAAUGUCCUGAAACAAAUUUUUAAAAUUUCAAACAAGACGUGUUUUCUAAUUUUUCGUUUUAAGAAAUAAUUUUUCAAAAUAACAAAUAAAACACGUUUUUAGCAAUCAUAAAAUAGACCUUCAAAACAUAAAACCAAAAAUGAAUUCAAAAUGCAAAACUAAAAAUUCAAACACAACCAAUCAUGCUCUCAUUUUUUCAAACUCAUUUUCAACCACACAUUCUACUAUAAAAUAAUUUUACAUACAAAUCCAAAAAAAUUUCUUAUUUUUUAACUACGCAUUCUCCAACAAAACACAAUUUUGAAAUGCAUUUUGACCAAAAAUGGACUCCAAAAAGGGCUAAUGAAUUACCAUUUGAGACCCUAGUGUUUUGAUAACGAUUACACGGAUUUGGAGAAAAAUUCAUCACACUGAUUCCAUAUUAAUUGGAUUCAAGUUUGAUGUUGGCAGCCUAUUGCAUGAGCAAAGAUUUGAAUCCCUGAAUUUUACUUACGUGUUUUGCUCAUUUCCAAAUACACCUUAGACAUUUUAUUCUUUAAUGUCCGCUCGAGGCUCACAAGUGUAAUUUAUAAACUUAUUUAUAAUUUAUUACUUAUAUGAUUGCCAGACAAUCUGUCGUUUUUCCUUUUUUUUUUUUUUUUUUUGCUGUUUUGGUCAUUUUUAAGAGUAAACAAGAGUAGUAACUAGUAUGAGACAAAUCGACGCUUGGAGGCAAGUGUAGGAUGCUCAGAGAUCAAAAGGAGGCAGGUAAGAGGCCAAAGUGAAGGCAGAAAUGGCAAUUAGUAAGCCAUUUGGGGGCCUCCAGACGCCAGAAGUGAUCCAAAACAUUGUGGCCCCGUUUUGGAGCGUGUUUGAAGGUGGGCAUUAAUGGAUAUUUAUUAGUUUGAAAAGCUGGUAGUUGAGUGCAG
rnacentral:lncRNA from 1 species